rnacentral:rRNA from 1 species
ACAAGCGGUGGAGCAUGUGGUUAAUUCGAUGAUACGCGAGGAACUUACCUGGGCUCGAACGUAAGAUGACUGUAGGUGAAAGCUUACAUCUCUUCGGAGCAUUUUACGAGGUGCUGCAUGGUUGUCGUCAGCUCGUGCCGUGAGGUGUCGGGUUAAGUCCCAUAACGAGCGCAACCCCUACCUUUAGUUGCCAUCAGGUUAAGCUGGGGACUCUAAAGGAACUGCCUACGCAAGUAGUGAGGAAGGCGGGGAUGACGUCAAAUCAGCACGGCCCUUACGUCCAGGGCUACACACGUGCUACAAUGGCCGAUACAGAGGGCAGCUACCUGGUGACAGGAUGCAAAUCUCCAAAGUCGGUCUCAGUUCGGAUCGGAGUCUGCAACCCGACUCCGUGAAGUUGGAUUCGCUAGUAAUCGCGCAUCAGCCAUGGCGCGGUGAAUACGUUCCCGGGCCUU